rnacentral:rRNA from 1 species
GAACGGGUGAGUAACACGUGGGAAACCUACCUCUUAGCAGGGGAUAACAUUUGGAAACAGAUGCUAAUACCGUAUAACAAUAACAACCGCAUGGUUGUUAUUUAAAAGAUGGUUCUGCUAUCACUAAGAGAUGGUCCCGCGGUGCAUUAGCUAGUUGGUAAGGUAAUGGCUUACCAAGGCGAUGAUGCAUAGCCGAGUUGAGAGACUGAUCGGCCACAAUGGGACUGAGACACGGCCCAUACUCCUACGGGAGGCAGCAGUAGGGAAUCUUCCACAAUGGGCGAAAGCCUGAUGGAGCAACGCCGCGUGUGUGAUGAAGGGUUUCGGCUCGUAAAACACUGUUGUAAGAGAAGAAUGACAUUGAGAGUAACUGUUCAAUGUGUGACGGUAUCUUACCAGAAAGGAACGGCUAAAUACGUGCCAGCAGCCGCGGUAAUACGUAUGUUCCAAGCGUUAUCCGGAUUUAUUGGGCGUAAAGCGAGCGCAGACGGUUAUUUAAGUCUGAAGUGAAAGCCCUCAGCUCAACUGAGGAAUUGCUUUGGAAACUGGAUGACUUGAGUGCAGUAGAGGAAAGUGGAACUCCAUGUGUAGCGGUGAAAUGCGUAGAUAUAUGGAAGAACACCAGUGGCGAAAGCGGCUUUCUGGACUGUAACUGACGUUGAGGCUCGAAAGUGUGGGUAGCAAACAGGAUUAGAUACCCUGGUAGUCCACACCGUAACGAUGAGUGCUAGGUGUUUGAGGGUUUCCGCCCUUAAGUGCCGCAG